GGCCUGUUGGUGAAGCGACUUAACACACCGCCCUUUCACGGCGGCAUUCAAGGGUUUGAAUCCCUUACAGGUCACCA
rnacentral:tRNA from 1 species